AUCCACCUGACGAGUCCCAAAUACGAUGAAACGCGCAUCCUGGAU
rfam:Schistosoma rodhaini strain Burundi genome assembly, scaffold: SROB_scaffold0000089